rnacentral:rRNA from 1 species
GACGAACGCUGGCGGCGUGCUUAACACAUGCAAGUCGAACGGUGAAAGGGAGCUUGCUCCCUGGAUCAGUGGCGAACGGGUGAGUAACACGUGGGCAACCUGCCCCAGACUUCGGGAUAACGCUUCGAAAGAGGUGCUAAUACCGGAUACGAACUCCUUGGGCAUCCUUGGAGUUGGAAAGUUUUUCGGUCUGGGAUGGGCCCGCGGCCUAUCAGCUUGUUGGUGAGGUAACGGCUCACCAAGGCGACGACGGGUAGCCGGCCUGAGAGGGUGACCGGCCACACUGGGACUGAGAUACGGCCCAGACUCCUACGGGAGGCAGCAGUGGGGAAUAUUGCACAAUGGGCGCAAGCCUGAUGCAGCGACGCCGCGUGAGGGAUGGCGGCCUUCGGGUUGUAAACCUCUUUCAGCAUCGACGAAGCGAAAGUGACGGUAGGUGCAGAAGAAGGACCGGCCAACUACGUGCCAGCAGCCGCAGUAA